rnacentral:rRNA from 2 species
CAUGGCUCAGAACGAACGCUGGCGGCAUGCCUAACACAUGCAAGUCGAACGAACCCUUCGGGGUUAGUGGCGCACGGGUGCGUAACGCGUGGGAACCUGCCUUUAGGUUCGGAAUAACUCAGAGAAAUUUGAGCUAAUACCGGAUAAUGUCUUCGGACCAAAGAUUUAUCGCCUUUAGAUGGGCCCGCGUUAGAUUAGAUAGUUGGUGGGGUAAUGGCCUACCAAGUCGACGAUCUAUAGCUGGUCUGAGAGGAUGAUCAGCCACACUGGGACUGAGACACGGCCCAGACUCCUACGGGAGGCAGCAGUGGGGAAUAUUGGACAAUGGGCGAAAGCCUGAUCCAGCAAUGCCGCGUGAGUGAUGAAGGCCUUAGGGUUGUAAAGCUCUUUUACCAGGGAUGAUAAUGACAGUACCUGGAGAAUAAGCUCCGGCUAACUCCGUGCCAGCAGCCGCGGUAAUACGGAGGGAGCUAGCGUUGUUCGGAAUUACUGGGCGUAAAGCGCGCGUAGGCGGCGAUCCAAGUCAGGGGUGAAAUCCCGGGGCUCAACCCCGGAACUGCCCUUGAAACUAGGUUGCUAGAAUACUGGAGAGGUGAGUGGAAUUCCGAGUGUAGAGGUGAAAUUCGUAGAUAUUCGGAAGAACACCAGUGGCGAAGGCGACUCACUGGACAGUUAUGACGCUGA